CAGCAGCCACGGUAAUGCGUAGGUGGCAAGCGUUGUCCGGAAUUAUUGGGCGUAAAGGGCUCGCAGGCGGUUUCUUAAAUCUGAUGUGAAAGCCCCCGGCUCAACCGGGGAGGGUCAUUGGAAACUGGGAAACUUGAGUGCAGAAGAGGAGAGUGGAAUUCCACGUGUAGCGGUGAAAUGCGUAGAGAUGUGGAGGAACACCAGUGGCGAAGGCGACUCUCUGGUCUGUAACUGACGCUGAGGAGCGAAAGCGUAGGGAGCGAACAGGAUUAGAUACCCCCGUAGUCCCUGUCUCUUAUAC
rnacentral:rRNA from 1 species